rnacentral:rRNA from 1 species
UACGUAGGGAGCAAGCGUUGUCCGGAAUCAUUGGGCGUAAAGCGCGCGUAGGUGGCUUCGUAAGUCCGUUGUGAAAGUCAAAGGCUCAACCUUUGAAAGCCGAUGGAUACUGCGGAGCUAGAGUACGGAAGAGGCGAGUGGAAUUCCUGGUGUAGCGGUGGAAUGCGCAGAUAUCAGGAGGAACACCAAUAGCGAAGGCAGCUCGCUGGGACGUUACUGACACUAAGGCGCGAAAGCGUGGGGGGCGAACAGG